UGGGGAAUAUUGCACAAUGGGCGCAAGCCUGAUGCAGCCAUGCCGCGUGUGUGAAGAAGGCCUUAGGGUUGUAAAGCACUUUCAGCGAGGAGGAAGGCAUCACACUUAAUACGUGUGGUGAUUGACGUUACUCGCAGAAGAAGCACCGGCUAACUCCGUGCCAGCAGCCGCGGUAAUACGGAGGGUGCAAGCGUUAAUCGGAAUUACUGGGCGUAAAGCGCACGCAGGCGGUUUGUUAAGUCAGAUGUGAAAUCCCCGCGCUUAACGUGGGAACUGCAUUUGAAACUGGCAAGCUAGAGUCUUGUAGAGGGGGGAUAGAAUUCCAGGUGUAGCGGUGAAAUGCGUAGAGAUCUGGAGGAAUACCGGUGGCGAAGGCGGCCCCCUGGACAAAGACUGACGCUCAGGUGCGAAAGCGUGGGGAGCAAACA
rnacentral:rRNA from 1 species